UACGGUCAUAUAUCGUGUUGAUACACCGGUUCUCGUACGAUCACCGAAGUUAAACAACGUCGAGUCUGGUCAGUACCUAGAUGGGUGACCAUAUGGGAACACCAGGGGCUGUAAG